CCUACGGGUGGCAGCAGUGAGGAAUAUUGGUCAAUGGCCGAGAGUCUGAACCAGCCAAGUCGCGUGAGGGAAGAAUGUCCUAUGGAUUGUAAACCUCUUUUGUCAGGGAGCAAAGUCACCCACGUGUGGGUGUUUGAGAGUACCUGAAGAACAAGCAUCGGCUAACUCCGUGCCAGCAGCAGCGGUAAUACGGAGGAUGCGAGCGUUAUCCGGAUUUAUUGGGUUUACAGGGGGCGUAGGCGGGUGAUCAAGUCAGCGGUAAAGUCGUGGAGCUCAACUCCAUCCAGCCGUUGAAACUGAUGAUCUUGAGUGGGCGAGAAGUGUGCGGCAUUCGUGGUGUAGCGGUGAAAUGCAUAGAUAUCGCGCAGAACUCCGAUUGCGAAGGCAGCAUACCGGAGCCCGACUGACGCUGAAGCACGAAAGCGUGGGUAUCGAACAGGAUUAGAUACCCGAGUAGUC
rnacentral:rRNA from 1 species